rnacentral:rRNA from 1 species
UACAGAGGUCUCAAGCGUUGUUCGGAUUCAUUGGGCGUAAAGGGUGCGUAGGCGGCGGGGCAAGUCGGAUGUGAAAUCUCAGGGCUCAACCCUGAAACUGCAUUCGAUACUGCCUUGCUCGAGGACUGGAGAGGAGAUUGGAAUUCACGGUGUAGCAGUGAAAUGCGUAGAUAUCGUGAGGAAGACCAGUGGCGAAGGCGGAUCUCUGGACAGUUCCUGGCGCUGAGGCACGAAGGCCAGGGGAGCAAACGGG